rnacentral:rRNA from 1 species
AGAAUGAACGCUGGCGGCGUGCCUAACACAUGCAAGUCGUGCGCGAACGGGGCUUCGGCUCCUAGUAGAGCGGCGAACGGGUGAGUAACACGUGGGUAACCUGCCUGGGAGUGGGGGAUAACCUGGGGAAACUCGGGCUAAUACCGCAUACGUUCCCGGGGCUUCGGCUCCGGGAGGAAAGAUGGCCUCUGCUUGCAAGCUAUCUCUCCCAGAGGGGCCCGCGUCUGAUUAGCUAGUUGGUGAGGUAACGGCCCACCAAGGCGACGAUCAGUAGCCGGCCUGAGAGGGUGAUCGGCCACACUGGAACUGAGACACGGUCCAGACUCCUACGGGAGCAGCAGUGGGAAUAUUGGACAAUGGGGGCAACCUGAUCCAGCAACGCCGCGUGGGGGAUGGAAAGGUCUUCGGAUUGUAAAACCCCCUGUUGAGAGGGACGAAGGUUUGAAGGACAAACAGUCUUCAAACUUGACGUACUCGAGAGGAAGCCCGCUAACUCUAGUGCAGCAAGCCGCGUAAUC